CAAUUUUAUGGAUUGGUUUUCUUAGGUAAAGACUUUUUCCUGUAGAUGUAUCUAUAUUGUUAGUUGGGCAUGGUGAUUUGGCUUUGAUUGUGGGUUGGCACAGCAUUAUCAUUUCUAUAUGAUUUCUUCAUUUGUAAUCAGUGUUAGUGGUGUUUGUCAGUUCUUCAGUGACUUAGGCUGUGAUUGUUAGUAGAGGCUGUGGCAAAGCUUUGCUGGGGGUGGGGAUUCCAAGUGGUUCAGUCUUGGGUACCAGUGGUGGAAGUGGCAGGUUGGGUGUGCAGAUCCAUGGCCCCCAGGUGAUGUACCAGGUGCCAGUGGUGGUGUGUCUAGGUGGGCUGGUCCUUGGGGUCCCAGGCAGCUUGCUUGGGUGCUAGUAGUGGGCCAGGCAGGUGGGUGGGUCCUCAGGCCCCUUGGCAGUGUGUGUUGGGUCAGUGAUAGUAGCGGCAGUGGUGAGCUAAUACUCAGGCCCUUGAAUAUCAUGCACAGGUGACAGUAGUGGCAUGAGAGGGCUGGGUGGGCCAGUUUCCAGGACCCCAUGUGGUACAUGCAGGUGGGUGCCAGCAAUGGUGGCAGCAGCAGGCUGAGUGGGCCAGUACUUGAGUUUUUGGGAGGCAGGCAUAGUCACCAGCAAUAGAAGGAUGGGUCUAUCUUCAGGCCACUGGACAGAGUACAUGGGCAGCUGUAGUGGUGUGGUGGGCCUAUUCUCAGGCUACUGUAAAGCGUGCAUGGGUGCCAGUGGUGGAUGGCAGGAGUUGAUCUCUCAACUCUUGGAUAAUGUGCUGGGCCCCAGAAGUAGUGGCAGUGCUGGUGGGCAGGGUGAGUUUGCCCUCAGGCCCUCAGACGGUGUGUGUGGAUUCCAGCAGUGGCAACGGGGAUGAGUUGAUCCCCAGGCCUCUGGAUGACAUGUGCAGACAACUUAGUGCCCUGAAGAAGAAGAAGGAUAAUGGUUUGCAAUCAAUGCUCAUGGACAAGACACCUAAUCUGAACUUAACCAAAAAGUCAAUAUUUAACUGUACCUUAUCAGUGUGGAAAUGUCAAGCAUAGCAAGAGACAACGAACAAAUUUCCAAGUGAUUUCUCUUUUUUUUAUGUUUUGGUGUUCACAGCUAUGUGGAAGUGUUUCAACAUCAGAUAAGACAAAAUGGCCUUUGGGAGAAAAAAAAAGACAGCAAAUUACAAUACUUGCACUUGCCGAAACCACAGUUUAUGAGAGGAAAGCAGACACUGGAUAUGCAUUCUAUUCUCUCCUAGCACAUUCCCUGGUUCACCUUCCUGCCUGUGUGAUGCUAGCCCUUGAUUGUUUCCCACAGCUGGCAGCCUUUAAGAGACAGAUAUGUUGAAAUGUCUCCUUGCUGAGUAAAGUCACUAUCUGUUGCCACCCAACACAAUUGACACAAAUUAUUUGCACUCUAAAUUUCCAUGCCUAGGAGUAGAUACAUAAAGCAUGACUAGGAGGACUGUGGGUCUGCAAAACAGGAGCUCCACCUGAAUUUCCUGGAAGUUAUGGCCAGUUAAUGUAGAGAAAGAGGUUUUCAAAAUUGUAAGAACUUCAGGACCUUUGUCAGAAUUCCAUCUCGCUCCACAGGACUCCAGCUAACCUCACCCACAUAACUGGUGUUGAAAGUUUUAUUUUGUUAGAAAAUAAUGUUACACUGGAAAAACCUAUGCUGGUACUCACAUUUAAUGGGAUGUUGGACUGUCAGCAUUACAAUACAAGAAAGAAAGGUGAUGACUUAAAUGGAUAAAUAUGCAUUGUUGCUAACUGACUUUUUAAGGAAUUGUGGGUGGGCUUGACAUAACAGGGAACAUGAACAUGGAGAUCUGAAAAAUACUGAUAGAGAAAACAUCAUUUCAUCUGGGACUACAACUAGAAAGGACCUUUUUGAACUAGAUUCACAGAACAGUGAUUCAUGGAGUUCACCAAGGGUAGUGACCAACCAUUUCAAACUAUGUAUAUAGUAAAAAUAAUGUAGGUGCUUGUUAAAAAUGCAGAUUCCCAUGGACUUCCCCCUGGAGAUUCUGAUUCAGGGUGUUAAAAUAAUUCAUGCGGAGGCCAUUACACUGGGGUGGCUCCAUUGCUCUGGGUUUCUACUAAACAAACUGAAACCCAACUCAGUGUUAACAGGAAAACAACCAAUCAGAAACUGCCAACUGACCUCUAGUGGGACUUUCUACUGGAAUCAUCCAAAUAAGGCUACUGAUCCACUUUAACCAAUAAAAAAAAUG
rnacentral:lncRNA from 10 species